GAUGAACGCUAGCUACAGGCUUAACACAUGCAAGUCGAGGGGUAACAAGAGAAAAGCUUGUUUUUCUUGUUGACGACCGGCGCACGGGUGAGUAACGCGUAUCCAACCUGCCUAUAACUAGGGAAUAACCUUGCGAAAGUAAGACUAAUACCCUAUGAUUUCCUUUGAUGACAUAAGAUUAGGAAUAAAGAUUUAUCGGUUAUAGAUGGGGAUGCGUCUGAUUAGCUUGUUGGCGGGGUAACGGCACACCAAGGCAACGAUCAGUAGGGGUUCUGAGAGGAAGGUCCCCCACAUUGGAACUGAGACACGGUCCAAACUCCUACGGGAGGCAGCAGUGAGGAAUAUUGGUCAAUGGGCGGAAGCCUGAACCAGCCAAGUAGCGUGCAGGAUGACGGCCCUAUGGGUUGUAAACUGCUUUUAUACAGGAAUAAAGUUAGCCACGUGUGGUUAUUUGUAGGUACUGUAUGAAUAAGGACCGGCUAAUUCCGUGCCAGCCGCCGCAGUAA
rnacentral:rRNA from 1 species